UCUAACUUCUCUCGCACACUUACACACAGAGGACUCGGCUGCUGCUUUCUGAUGGGACUGUAAAAGCCACCGAUACUGGAAGUGGUCCAAAGAUCAAGUACAAUGAGAGAAACGUCGGGAUGUACCUUGUCAUUGAUGCUGAUAUCGGACUGACAAUUUUGUGGGAUCGCAAAACCACCAUCCGCAUCAUUCUGCAACCUCAGCACAUGGGAGACGUUUGUGGCUUGUGUUGAAAUUUCAAUGGAAAUGGAAAAGAUGACUUCACCACUCAGGGAAAUUUGCCAACUACAAAUGUAUUGGAGUUUGUGGACAGCUGGAAAGUGUUAAGCACCUGCCCUGAUGCAAAACCAGACUUUAACCCGUGCCUUGAGACCCCCAAUCGAGAGACAUGGGCAAAAAUACAAUGUAUCAUCAUAAAGGAAGUUACGUUCAAAGACUGCCAUAACAAGGUGGAUCCAAACCCAUAUUAUGAGAACUGUGUGAAGGACUCUUGCUCAUGUGACACAGGUGGAGAUUGUGAGUGCUUCUGUACAGCUGUGGCAGCUUACGCUCAAGCCUGCAAUGAGGCGGGUGUUUGUGUCGUUUGGAGAACACCUGAGAUCUGCCUUGUGUAGUGACUACUACAAUAAACAUGGAGAAUGCACAUGGCACUACAGUCCUUGUCAUACACCUGAUGGUAUAUGCAAAUAACACUGGACCCAUCCUGGAAGACACGCCAUGCUCCAACAUCCACCAAUCACAGCGCACAGCUUCCCCUGAGUACUGAUCACCGCCACCUGCACCUCAUCAGCUCACUCAUCACCAGCACUACUUAAGACACUCACACACACAGUCACAUUGUCUGGUCUCAUUCGCAUCUAAGGACUUACCUGUAUGCUUACCUCAAGGACGCUCCUCGCUACUUACCGGUUCCCUUGUCUCUGAGUUCCCUCCAUCGUCUCCAGUCUGUGUGUGAAGUAUUGUCUGCAGUCAUCGUCUCCAGUCAGCAAGUAUCAUUCUCCAUCGGCACUCUGCAACCACAAAGGACAGUAUCAUACUCUAUACCAUUCACCAGUCACGAACUUGCAUCUGCAUACUCACCUGUUGUCACCAUCUACUCUGCUUGUGUUCAAUAAACAACCUGUUAACUUAUCUCCUGUCUCCUGGCUGGUCCUAUUGUAACACAUGCCUUGUUUCUCUUGCAUUGCAUGGAAAGAAAGUGUACCUAAGCAAUGUCUUGUAUUAUCAAACAACUUACAUCACAUGGCCAUUAUUACAUUAAAUGUAUUUUGUAUUAAACCAAGUUUUUCACAGAACCAUAAAAAAAAACAAAAAAAAAAACACGUUAUAUAAACACAUUUAUAAAUGUAUUGCAUUUUGCACUUCUGGUCAGAUGACAAUAAAGUUGAAUCUAAUCUAAUGUUUUGUAUUAAACCAAACCAAGCUACCAAAGACAACCUGUUCAUGUUUGUUAGAGAUCUUGGUACUUGAUGAAUUUCACUUGAAUGUAAUUUCAUUUCUUGUUAGAUGCAUUUGACAUCCUGUUAGUACAAGUUAAACAAAUUUAACCUUGU